rnacentral:rRNA from 1 species
AGAGUUUGAUCAUGGCUCAGAUUGAACGCUGGCGGCAGGCCUAACACAUGCAAGUCGAACGGUAACAGGAAGCAGCUUGCUGCUUCGCUGACGAGUGGCGGACGGGUGAGUAAUGUCUGGGAAACUGCCUGAUGGAGGGGGGAUAACUACUGGAAACGGUGGCUAAUACCGCAUAACGUCGCAGGACCAAAGAGGGGGACCUUCGGGCCUCUUGCCAUCAGAUGUGCCCAGAUGGGAUUAGCUUGUUGGUGAGGUAACGGCUCACCAAGGCGACGAUCCCUAGCUGGUCUGAGAGGAUGACCAGCCACACUGGAACUGAGACACGGUCCAGACUCCUACGGGAGGCAGCAGUGGGGAAUAUUGCACAAUGGGCGCAAGCCUGAUGCAGCCAUGCCGCGUGUAUGAAGAAGGCCUUCGGGUUGUAAAGUACUUUCAGCGGGGAGGAAGGGGAUAAGGCUAAUAACCUUGUUCAUUGACGUUACCCGCAGAAGAAGCACCGGCUAACUCCGUGCCAGCAGCCGCGGUAAUACGGAGGGUGCAAGCGUUAAUCGGAAUUACUGGGCGUAAAGCGCACGCAGGCGGUCUGUCAAGUCGGAUGUGAAAUCCCCGGGCUCAACCUGGGAACUGCAUUCGAAACUGGCAGGCUUGAGUCUUGUAGAGGGGGGGUAGAAUUCCAGGUGUAGCGGUGAAAUGCGUAGAGAUCUGGAGGAAUACCGGUGGCGAAGGCGGCCCCCUGGACAAAGACUGACGCUCAGGUGCGAAAGCGUGGGGAGCAAACAGGAUUAGAUACCCCUGGUAGUCCACGCCGUAAACGAUGUCUACUUGGAGGUUGUGCCCUUGAGGCGUGGCUUCCGGAGCUAACGCGUUAAGUAGACCGCCUGGGGAGUACGGCCGCAAGGUUAAAACUCAAAUGAAUUGACGGGGGCCCGCACAAGCGGUGGAGCAUGUGGUUUAAUUCGAUGCAACGCGAAGAACCUUACCUGGUCUUGACAUCCACAGAACUUUCCAGAGAUGGAUUGGUGCCUUCGGGAACUGUGAGACAGGUGCUGCAUGGCUGUCGUCAGCUCGUGUUGUGAAAUGUUGGGUUAAGUCCCGCAACGAGCGCAACCCUUAUCCUUUGUUGCCAGCGGUCCGGCCGGGAACUCAAAGGAGACUGCCAGUGAUAAACUGGAGGAAGGUGGGGAUGACGUCAAGUCAUCAUGGCCCUUACGACCAGGGCUACACACGUGCUACAAUGGCGCAUACAAAGAGAAGCGACCUCGCGAGAGCAAGCGGACCUCAUAAAGUGCGUCGUAGUCCGGACUGGAGUCUGCAACUCGACUCCAUGAAGUCGGAAUCGCUAGUAAUCGUGGAUCAGAAUGCCACGGUGAAUACGUUCCCGGGCCUUGUACACACCGCCCGUCACACCAUGGGAGUGGGUUGCAAAAGAAGUAGGUAGCUUAACCUUCGGGAGGGCGCUUACCACUUUGUGAUUCAUGACUGGGGUGAAGUCGUAACAAGGUAACCGUAGGGGAACCUGCGGUUGGAUCACCU